CUACGGGUCGCUGCAGUGGGGAAUAUUGGACAAUGGGGGAAACCCUGAUCCAGCAAUGCCGCGUGUGUGAAGAAGGCCUGCGGGUUGUAAAGCACUUUCGGUUGGGAGGACUGCUUCUAGCACUAAUAUUGUUGGAAGUUGACGUUACCUUCAGAAGAAGCACGGGCUAACUCCGUGCCAGCAGCCGCGGUAAUACGGAGGGUGUAAGCGUUAAUCGGAAUUACUGGGCGUAAAGCGCGCGUAGGCGGCUAGAUCAGUCGGGUGUGAAAGCACCGGGCUUAACCUGGGAACUGCAUCCGAUACUGUCUAGCUUGAGUACAGGAGAGGAGAGUGGAAUUCCACAUGUAGCGGUGAAAUGCGUAGAUAUGUGGAGGAACACCAAUGGCGAAGGCAGCUCUCUGGCCUGAUACUGACGCUGAGGUGCGAAAGCGUGGGGAGCAAACAGGAUUAGAUACCCCUGUAGUC
rnacentral:rRNA from 1 species